CCUACGGGAGGCAGCAGUGGGGUAAUUUUGGACAAUGGGGGCAACCCUGAUCCAGCAAUGCCGCGUGAGUGAAGAAGGCCUUCGGGUUGUAAAGCUCUUUUGUCAGGGAAGAAACGGUGCGAGCUAAUAUCUCGUGCUAAUGACGGUACCUGAAGAAUAAGCACCGGCUAACUACGUGCCAGCAGCCGCGGUAAUACGUAGGGUGCAAGCGUUAAUCGGAAUUACUGGGCGUAAAGCGUGCGCAGGCGGUUUUGAAGACUGUCGUGAAAUCCCCGGGCUCAACCUGGGAAUGGCGAUGGUGACUGCAAGGCUAGAGUUUGGCAGAGGGGGGUAGAAUUCCACGUGUAGCAGUGAAAUGCGUAGAUAUGUGGAGGAACACCGAUGGCGAAGGCAGCCCCCUGGGUCAAAACUGACGCUCAUGCACGAAAGCGUGGGGAGCAAACAGGAUUAGAUACCCUGGUACGUCCACGCCCUAAACGAUGUCUACUAGUUGUCGGUUUUAAUUACGUUGGUAACGCGUAGUACUACGACGUGAGUAGACCGCCGUGGGAGGUACGGUCGCGAAGUAGUUAAACGUUACGUUAAGUAGUUAAGUUAGUAGGCGNGAGAGNGCGACGGACGACGACGAGGAGGAGG
rnacentral:rRNA from 1 species